rnacentral:rRNA from 1 species
CACGUAGGGGGCAAGCGUUGUCCGGAUUUAUUGGGCGUAAAGAGCUCGUAGGCGGUUCGGUAAGUCGGGUGUGAAACCUCCAGGCUCAACCUGGAGACGCCACCCGAUACUGCUGUGACUCGAGUCCGGUAGGGGAGCGUGGAAUUCCUGGUGUAGCGGUGAAAUGCGCAGAUAUCAGGAGGAACACCAGCGGCGAAGGCAGCUCGCUGGGACGUUACUGACGCUGAGACGCGAAAGCGUGGGGAGCAAACAGG